rnacentral:rRNA from 1 species
CAGCCGCCGCGGUAAUACGUAGGGCGCGAGCGUUAAUCGGAAUUACUGGGCGUAAAGCGUGCGCAGGCGGUUCGUUAAGACAGAUGUGAAAUCCCCGGGCUUAACCUGGGAACUGCAUUUGUGACUGGCGAGCUAGAGUAUGGCAGAGGGGGGUAGAAUUCCACGUGUAGCAGUGAAAUGCGUAGAGAUGUGGAGGAAUACGAUGGCGAAGGCAGCCCCCUGGGCCAAUACUGACGCCCAUGCACGAAAGCGUGGGGAGCAAACAGGAUUAGAUACCCGCGUAGUCCCUGUCUCUUAUACA